rnacentral:tRNA from 2 species
GGGGCCGUGGUCCAGCUAGGGAGGAUACGUGGCUUGGGCCCACGUGGUCGCCGGUUCAAAUCCGGCCGGCCCCA